rnacentral:rRNA from 1 species
CUGCUGCCUUCCGUAGGAGUCUGGGCCGUGUCUCAGUCCCAAUGUGGCCGUUCAACCUCUCAGUCCGGCUACUGAUCGUCGACUUGGUAGGCCGUUACCCCACCAACUAUCUAAUCAGACGCGAGUCCAUCCUUAGGCGCCUCAGCUUUGGUAUAUCUACGAUGCCGUUAAUAUACUUUAUAUGGUAUUACCGUCCGUUUCCAGACGCUAUCCCUUCCUAAGGCAGGUUACUCACGCGUUACUCACCCGUCCGCCACU